rnacentral:rRNA from 1 species
CAGUCGCCACGGUAAUACGUAGGUGGCAAGCGUUGUCCGGAAUUAUUGGGCGUAAAGCGUCUGUAGGUGGCUUUUCAAGUCCGCCGUCAAAUCCCAGGGCUCAACCCUGGACAGGCGGUGGAAACUACCAAGCUGGAGUACGGUAGGGGCAGAGGGAAUUCCCGGUGGAGCGGUGAAAUGCGUUGAGAUCGGAAAGAACACCAACGGCAAAAGCACUCUGCUGGGCCGAUACUGACACUGAGAGACGAAAGCUAGGGGAGCAAAUGGCAUUAGAGACCCCCGUAGUCCCUGUCUCUUAUAA